UACAGAGGUCUCAACCGUUGUUCGGAUUCAUUGGGCGUAAAGGGUGCGUAGGCGGCCAGGUAGGUCGGUUGUGAAAACUGGAGGCUCAACCUUCAGAGGUCGACCGAAACCAUCUGGCUAGAGUCCGGGAGAGGAGAGUGGAAUUCCUGGUGUAGCGGUGAAAUGCGCAGAUAUCAGGAAGAACACCCGUGGCGAAAGCGGCUCUCUGGAACGGUACUGACGCUGAGACGCGAAAGCGUGGGGAGCGAACAGG
rnacentral:rRNA from 1 species